AUUGAACGCUAGCGGGAUGCUUUACACAUGCAAGUCGAACGAGUGGAGGACGGGUGAGUAAUAAAUCGGAACGUGCCCAGUAGCGGGGGAUAACUACUCGAAAGAGUGGCUCAUACCGCAUACUAUUGGAGCGGCCGAUAUAGGAUUAGCUAGUUGGUUGGGGAAAGGCGCACAAAGGAAAAGAACCGUAGCUGUUUUGAGAGGACGACACGCCACACUGGGACUGAGACACGGCCCAGACUCCUACGGGAGGCAGCAGGGGUGAAUUUUGGACAAUGGGGGAAACCCUGAUCCAGCCAUCCCGCGUGUAUGAGAAGGCCCGAGGGUUGUAAAGUACUUUCAGUCGGGAGGCGUUACCGACAGAAGAAGCACCGGCUAACUCCGUGCCAGCAGCCGCGGUAAUUC
rnacentral:rRNA from 1 species